rnacentral:rRNA from 1 species
GACGAACGCUGGCGGCGUGCUUAACACAUGCAAGUCGAACGGAAAGGCCCUGCUUUUGUGGGGUGCUCGAGUGGCGAACGGGUGAGUAACACGUGAGUAACCUGCCCUUGACUUUGGGAUAACUUCAGGAAACUGGGGCUAAUACCGGAUAGGAGCUCCUGCUGCAUGGUGGGGGUUGGAAAGUUUCGGCGGUUGGGGAUGGACUCGCGGCUUAUCAGCUUGUUGGUGGGGUAGUGGCUUACCAAGGCUUUGACGGGUAGCCGGCCUGAGAGGGUGACCGGCCACAUUGGGACUGAGAUACGGCCCAGACUCCAAAGGGAGGCAAGAGUGGGGAAUAUUGCACAAUGGGCGGAAGCCUGAUGCAGCAACGCCGCGUGCGGGAUGACGGCCUUCGGGUUGUAAACCGCUUUCGCCUGUGACGAAGCGUGAGUGACGGUAAUGGGUAAAGAAGCACCGGCUAACUACGUG